CUGACCGUAAAGCCCCCUCUCAGAUUUAUUAUCAUCAACUCAGCAUAAGGGCGCUGAAGAGGUUUGCCCCGGAACGUGAAUGAGGAAGUGUUGUAUUGUUAUAUUUUCCCGGUUUCAUUUCACUCACCUCAUGACCUUCGUGGAGGAUAAAACACGCAAGCUAGUAGUGCUUCAGGCCGAAGACGCAACUAAGGUAUCCAGGUUUUAUUGCGGCCUUGGUGAGCGCAGCAAGUUUUCACGGUGCUCGAAGCUGGUCAUUGCCGACUGCAAAUAAACAUACCGCACCUGUAGAGACUCUCUGCUCAUUCGUGACGCCAAGGGCCGUAACACUGGCCAUUCUUUCACAAGUGACAGGAUGUCUGUGCUUUUGAACACACAGUGAACACUGCCCCAAAGAGCCCAGACACGGGGACACGACCUUAAUAUCAAGUGUGAUUUUAUGGGUUUUAUUUUAUCCAGUCAUGAAUCUACACAGUCUAGAUCCAGGAAUGCAUUUUUAAACCCUCUCUGCUGAGUUUCUGAUUCAUAACCUAAAGCUGUGGGCUGCUGGGAGGACACGGUGUCCACAUUGUCUGACCACAAACAGGCUGCGGUUUCUUACUUGAUUCGGCUCCCCCACUCAUUUUAUACCCUUUAGUAGAAAUUAAUUUGAAGGCUGACAAGU